UACGAAGGGUGCAAGCGUUAAUCGGAAUUACUGGGCGUAAAGCGUGCGUAGGCGGCCUGUUAAGUCUGUCGUGAAAGCCCCGGGCUCAACCUGGGAAUGGCGAUGGAAACUGGUGGGCUAGAGUGUGAUAGAGGAUGGUGGAAUUCCCGGUGUAGCGGUGAAAUGCGUAGAGAUCGGGAGGAACAUCAGUGGCGAAGGCGGCCAUCUGGAUCAACACUGACGCUGAGGCACGAAAGCGUGGGGAGCAAACAGG
rnacentral:rRNA from 1 species